GAUGAACGCUGGCGGCAUGCCUUACACAUGCAAGUCGAACGGCAGCGCGGGAGCAAUCCUGGCGGCGAGUGGCGAACGGGUGAGUAAUAUAUCGGAACGUGCCCAGUAGUGGGGGAUAGCCCGGCGAAAGCCGGAUUAAUACCGCAUGAGACCUGAGGGUGAAAGCGGGGGAUCGCAAGACCUCGCGCUAUUGGAGCGGCCGAUAUCAGAUUAGCUAGUUGGUGGGGUAAAGGCCUACCAAGGCAACGAUCUGUAGUUGGUCUGAGAGGACGACCAGCCACACUGGGACUGAGACACGGCCCAGACUCCUACGGGAGGCAGCAGUGGGGAAUUUUGGACAAUGGGCGCAAGCCUGAUCCAGCAAUGCCGCGUGCAGGAAGAAGGCCU
rnacentral:rRNA from 1 species